GGCGCUGUGGCUGAGCGGGUUAAAGCCCUGGCCUGAAGCACCAGCAUCUCAUAUGGGCGCCGGUUCGAGUCCCAGCUGCUCCA
rfam:Oryctolagus cuniculus chromosome 20, whole genome shotgun sequence.